rnacentral:lncRNA from 1 species
UAUUAUACUGCUGCCCUGCCAUCCCCUGCCUAAUUUAAUUAAUUCAAGCUGUCAUGACUUGACCUAUAAUUUGUACUUUCUUCCUCCACACAUCAUUACUUACUCCCCCCCAAGCAUUUCCUACUCUCCUUCACGUGCCCCCAUGCGUGUGUGAAUUUCAUGCGUUCUUCUUUCUUUCUUUCUUUCUUUCUCUUUUUCUUUUUCUAUUUUAAACUUUUUUUGCUUUAGAGGAAUUACUGAUUACCAUUUGCCUCCCUGAAACUUAUUAAAUUACACUAGAAGCUAGUGCUGAUGCACAGUUGCUCUUUGAUGGAAGUUUUCAUAGUUUUUUUUUUUCUCUGGUUUCUUUGAUGAAUCACAAUAACACCCAACUUAAUGAAACUGCUUUUUAAGCUAUAGUAUAGAAAUGGGGUGGUAUAGAGUUUGAUUGUGGUGGGUUUUUGUAGAAUGAAGAGUUUUAAGUGAUGAUCUAUGAAGUGUUUGUGAAAAUGCCUGAAAGAGAGAUUAUUUCGUGGAGCAUACUUACUGAUGGAUUAGGUUAGGUAGAGUGUGGACUUUGUUUGUGAAAAUAGCGUAAAAGAAUUGCAGUUCCAUGGAACAAGCUGAUGGUAUGAGUUUAUUUUUAUUUUUAAUUCUUGGACUUUGGUCAGUGAUAAUUGACUGGGAGAGUGAAAUUGAGAUUUUGAUAGUGGUGGAGCUUAUUGAAUAUGAAAGGGUAG